UACAGAGGUCUCAAGCGUUGUUCGGAUUCAUUGGGCGUAAAGGGUGCGUAGGCGGCGCGGUAAGUCGGGUGUGAAAUCUUCGAGCUUAACUCGGAAACUGCCAUUGAUACUAUCAAUCUUGAAUAUCCUGGAGGUAAGCGGAAUAUGUCAUGUAGCGGUGAAAUGCUUAGAUAUGACAUAGAACACCCAUUGCGAAGGCAGCUUACUACGGGAUCAUUGACACUGAGGCACGAAAGCGUGGGGAUCAAACAGG
rnacentral:rRNA from 1 species